GCAUGAUGAAAUCUGUAAAUCUAUUUUUAAUGUCUUAAUGCUGCUCUAGUUGAACGAGGCAAGGUGACUGCUGCAUGGCAUUUGCUUUACACUUUUUUGGAUUCUCAUGCACUCAUUAAAUAUUCACUCUGCAGCCUUUGCAUUUCCAGUACUGCAGGACCCUAAAAUAGAAUACAAGUUUUUCUUUCCCUCUUUUGUUUCUGAAAUUCCAACUUGACUCUGGGAUCUCCCCAAAUCAAAUGUGAAGCACUAAACACUGCAAGGAGAAAAUGUUUCAAAUUAAUAGAGAUGCCAGGAAAUAGGAUUUAAAUCCUAAACAUGCAGCCAUUUGCACUGUUUUUAGGAGGUGACAGAGCAAAAUGUUUGAUUUCAUUUCAAAUUAAAACAUAUGCAAUGUUAAUUCUCUGAGUAGCAUGUUUUUAUUAAGAAAAUAUUUGAACAUCGCUGGAACAACUCUCCCAAAUCAUCAUCUCACAGAACAUUUCUUGAGGGAGUAGUUUGUGCUUUUCAUUCUGAUCUGGGAUGGAAACAAGCUCUGAAAGACUGGAAUUUUCUGUGUAACAAACUUUAUUUUCUGACCCACUCGCUUUGAAAAAUCAGUGUACGAAGCAGUGACAUAAAUCCUGCUGUUGUCACUUGGGUGUUGUGCCACGGAAAGCCGGGCUCUGCCUCUCCCUGCUUUAGCACAUUAAAACUCCUCGGUGUGUCUGCAAACAUCGAUGAUGGAGAGAGCAGGGAAGGGAGGCAGCGCCGAGGAUUUCUCCCGAAAAACCCGAUUUUCCCAGCAGAGGACACAGAGCGGCUCCUGGUGCCACAUCACCGGCGCCGCGGGGAGGUGGCACAGGGGAGGUGGCACAGGGGAGGUGGCACAGGGGAGGUGGCACAGGGGAGGUGGCACAGGGGAGGUGGCACAAGGGAGGUGGCACUGCCCAAGGUGUUCCCUUCCACAGCCCGGCCAGGCUGGAGCACUGCAGGCAGCCAAGGUUCCUUUGGAAGGGCUGGGCUUCGGAGGGGCCCGCUGGGGUGUGCUGGCUCUGUCCCCUCCCUGUUCCCCCCGUCCCCUCUGUCCCCCCAGCUCCUCCUGUCCCUCCUGUCCCCCCUCUAUCCCCUCUCUGUCCCCCUGUCCCUUUCUGUCCCUGUUCCUCCAUCCCCUCUCUGUCCCCCUGUCCCUCUCUGUCCCUCUGUCUCUCUGUCCCUCUAUCCCUCUCUGUCCCUCUGUCCCUCUCUAUCCCCUCUCUGUCCCCCGGUCCCUCUGUCAGUCCCUGUCCCCCUGUCCAUCCCUGUCCCUCUGUCCCCCUGUCCCUCUGUCCAUCCCUGUCCCUCUGUCCGUCCCUGUCCAUCCCUGUCCCUCUGUCUCCCUCUCUGUCCGUCCCUGUCCCUCUGUCCGUCCCUGUCCAUCCCUGUCCGUCCCUGUCCCUCUGUCCGUCCCUGUCCAUCCCUGUCCGUCCCUGUCCCUCUCUGUCCCUCUGUCUCCCUCUCUGUCCCCCUGUCCGUCCCUGUCCCUCUGUCCGUCCCGGUCCCACCGCGGGGCGCUCCCGGCGCUGCCGUGCCCGCGCCGCUGCCGCCCCCUCGUGGCCGCCGGUGGAAGCGCAGCCCGGCCUCAUCCCGCGCGCCGAUUUUGGCUCCAAAUUCUUUAA
rnacentral:lncRNA from 1 species